AAACAUAUAAUAGUUUUGUUUGUGGAAACACCACAUAAAUUUAAAUUUAUGUGGUGUUUCCACAAACAAAACUAUUAUAUGUUG